AGAGUUGAUCAUGGCUCAGAACGAACGCUGCGGCAUGGAUUAGGCAUGCAAGUCGAACGAAGCAGCAAUGCUUAGUGGCGCAAGGGUGAGGAACACGUGAGUGACUUACCCGCAAGUUUGGAACAGCUCCUGGAAACGGGAAUUAAUACCGGAUGUGAUCAUAGGUCUGCAUGGAUUUAUGAUUAAGCAGCAAUGCGCUUGGCGGAUGGGCUCGCGUCCCAUUAGCUGGUUGGUGAGGUAACGGCCCACCAAGGCGAUGAUGGGUAGCUGGUCUGAGAGGACGACCAGCCACACUGGGACUGAGAACUGCCCAGACUCCUACGGGAGGCUGCAGUCGAGAAUUUUGGGCAAUGGACGAAAGUCUCGACCCAGCAAUGCCGCGUGCGGGAUGAAGGUCUUCGGAUUGUAAACCGCUGUUUGGAGGGACGAAAUUUGACGGUACCUCCAGAGAAAGCCACGGCUAACUACGUGCCAGCCGCCGC
rnacentral:rRNA from 1 species